rnacentral:rRNA from 1 species
GACGGAGGAUGCAAGCGUUAUCCGGAAUGAUUGGGCGUAAAGCGUCCGCAGGUGGCAGUUCAAGUCUGCUGUCAAAGACCGGGGCUUAACUUCGGAAAGGCAGUGGAAACUGAACAGCUAGAGUAUGGUAGGGGCAGAGGGAAUUCCUGGUGGUAGCGGUGAAAUGCGUAGAGAUCAAGGAGGAACACCGGUGGCGAAGGGCGGGGUCUCCUGGGCCGAUACUGACGUGGAGGAGCGAAAGCGUGGGGAGCGAACAGG